rnacentral:rRNA from 1 species
AGGCCUAACACAUGCAAGUCGAGGGGUACAGUCCGGAGCAAUCUGGAGCUGACGACCGGCGCACGGGUGAGUAACGCGUAUGCAACUUUCCUCUAACAGAGAGAUAGCCCGAAGAAAUUCGGAUUAAUAUCUCAUAACAUCAUGAAAUCGCAUGGUUUUAUGAUUAAAGCUCCGGCGGUUAGAGAUGGGCAUGCGUGACAUUAGUUAGUUGGUGAGGUAACGGCUCACCAAGGCAACGAUGUCUAGGGGUUCUGAGAGGAUGAUCCCCCACACUGGUACUGAGACACGGACCAGACUCCUACGGGAGGCAGCAGUGAGGAAUAUUGGGCAAUGGACGCAAGUCUGACCCAGCCAUGCCGCGUGCAGGAUGACGGCCCUACGGGUUGUAAACUGCUUUUGUACGAGAAGAAUUCUCUUGACGUGUCAGGGGUUGACGGUAUCGUACGAAUAAGCAUCGGCUAACUCCGUGCCAGCAGCCGCGGUAAUACGGAGGAUGCAAGCGUUAUCCGGAUUUAUUGGGUUUAAAGGGUGCGUAGGCGGGAUAUUAAGUCAGUGGUGAAAUCCUGCAGCUUAACUGUAGAACUGCCAUUGAUACUGAUAUUCUUGAGUAUAGUUGAAGUGGGCGGAAUGUGUAAUGUAGCGGUGAAAUGCUUAGAUAUUACACAGAACACCGAUUGCGUAGGCAGCUCGCUAAACUAAUACUGACGCUGAGGCACGAAAGCGUGGGGAG